rnacentral:rRNA from 1 species
UACGUAGGGUGCAAGCGUUGUCCGGAAUUAUUGGGCGUAAAGAGCGUGUAGGCGGCCCGGUAAGUCCGCUGUGAAAGUCGGGGGCUCAACCCUCGAAUGCCGGUGGAUACUGUCGGGCUAGAGUGCGGAAGAGGCGAGUGGAAUUCCUGGUGUAGCGGUGAAAUGCGCAGAUAUCAGGAGGAACACCGAUUGCGAAGGCAGCUCGCUGGGACGUAACUGACGCUGAGGCACGAAAGCGUGGGGAGCAAACAGG